rnacentral:rRNA from 1 species
CGUAGGGUGCGAGCGUUAAUCGGAAUUACUGGGCGUAAAGCGUGCGCAGGCGGUUUGUUAAGAUAGGCGUGAAAUCCCCGGGCUCAACCUGGGAACUGCGCUUAUGACUGGCAAGCUAGAGUACGGCAGAGGGGGGUGGAAUUCCACGUGUAGCAGUGAAAUGCGUAGAGAUGUGGAGGAACACCGAUGGCGAAGGCAGCCCCCUGGGUCGAUACUGACGCUCAUGCACGAAAGCGUGGGUAGCAAACAGGAUUAGAUACCCUGGUAGCCCACGCCCUAAACGAUGUCAACUAGGUGUUGGGAGGGUAAAACCUUUUAGUACCGGAGCUAACGCGUGAAGUUGACCGCCUGGGGAGUACGGCCGCAAGGUUA